rnacentral:misc_RNA from 1 species
GGAAAUAACUCUUAAUUAAAAUAACAAUUAAUAUCCAAUAAUAAUAGGAAGUAAAUCCCGAAAAUUCAACCAGCUUUGCUGAGGGGUCCCACAAUACGUCCAUAAUAGACAAUUAGGCAAAAACUGUUUGGUUAGUAGCAUAUACAUAUUAUAAAUUAUAAUAUUGCAAUGUUGGGACAGAAAUGUUUAAAAAGUGGUAACAUCAUUUUGUUUAGCUUGUAUACAUAUAAUAAAUUAUAAUAUUGCAAUGUGCGGACAUAAAUGUUUAAAAAGUGGCAACAUCAUUUUGUUUAGCUUUCAUAAACGAGCUUAAGCAAAGCUCUACACAAAAUCCGCUCCAUCAUGCCACACUUGCAGCCCCCUUUCUCCCCCCUUGUCUCUGUCCAAAAAAAAAAAAAAAAAG